rnacentral:rRNA from 1 species
CUAUGGGAGGCAGCAGUGAGGAAUAUUGGUCAAUGGGCGCAAGCCUGAACCAGCAAUGCCGCGUGUGGGAUGACGGCGCUUUGCGUUGUAAACCACUGUCGGACGGGACGAAAAGAGGCAACAGCCUCCGAGACGGUACCGUCAAAGGAAGGGUCGGCUAACUACGUGCCAGCAGCCGCGGUAAUACGUAGGACCCAAGCGUUGUCCGGAUUCACUGGGUAUAAAGGGUGCGUAGGCGGUCUUGUGCGUCAGAGGUGAAAUAUCCGGGCUCAACCCGGAGGGUGCCUUUGAUACGGCAGGACUUGAGUGCGAGAGAGGACGAUGGAAUUCCUGGUGUAGCGGUGAAAUGCGUAGAUAUCAGGAGGAACACCGGUGGCGAAGGCGGUCAUCUGGCUCGCAACUGACGCUGAGGCACGAAAGCGUGGGGAUCAAACAGGAUUAGAUACCCUAGUAGUCC